rnacentral:rRNA from 1 species
UACAGAGGGUGCAAGCGUUAAUCGGAAUUACUGGGCGUAAAGCGCACGUAGGCGGUUUUUUAAGUCAGAUGUGAAAGCCCCGGGCUUAACCUGGGAAUUGCAUUUGAAACUGGGGAACUAGAGUGUGUGAGAGGGGGGUAGAAUUCCAAGUGUAGCGGUGAAAUGCGUAGAGAUUUGGAGGAAUACCAGUGGCGAAGGCGGCCCCCUGGCACAACACUGACGCUCAGGUGCGAAAGCGUGGGGAGCAAACAGG